GAUGAACGCUGGCGGCGUGCCUAAUACAUGCAAGUCGAGCGAACAGACGAGGAGCUUGCUCCUCUGACGUUAGCGGCGGACGGGUGAGUAACACGUGGAUAACCUACCUAUAAGACUGGGAUAACUUCGGGAAACCGGAGCUAAUACCGGAUAAUAUAUUGAUUCGCAUGGUUCAAUAGUGAAAGACGGUUUUGCUGUCACUUAUAGAUGGAUCCGCGCCGCAUUAGCUAGUUGGUAAGGUAACGGCUUACCAAGGCAACGAUGCGUAGCCGACCUGAGAGGGUGGUAGGCCACACUGGAACGGAGACACGGUCCAGACUCCUACGGGAGGCAGCAGUAGGGAAUCGUACGCAGUGGGCGAAAGCCUGACGGAGCAACGCCGCGUGAGUGAUGAAGGUCUUCGGAUCGUAAAACUCUGUUAUUAGGGAAGAACAAAUGUGUAAGUAACUAUGCACGUCUUGACGGUACCUAAUCAGAAAGCCACGGCUAACUACGUG
rnacentral:rRNA from 1 species